UACGGGGGGGGCAAGCGUUGUUCGGAAUUACUGGGCGUAAAGGGUGCGUAGGCGGCUUUCUAAGUUGGAUGUGAAAACUAUGGGCUCAACCCAUAGCCUGCAUCCAAAACUGGAGAGCUUGGGUUCUGGAGGGGAAAGCGGAAUUCCUGGUGUAGCGGUGAAGUGCGUAGAUAUCAGGAAGAACACCCGUGGCGAAGGCGGCUCUCUGGGACGGUACUGACGCUGAGACGCGAAAGCGUGGGGAGCGAACAGG
rnacentral:rRNA from 1 species